AGCCAGCGUGGCGUAGUGGUUGGAGCGUUGGACUACGACUCUGGGGAUCAGGGUUUCAUUCCCUGCCCGGCUG